UGAUGUUGAUAAUGAUGAAGAAGAUGAUGAUGAUGAUGAUGGUGGGGCUACUGAUGAUGAUUUUGAUGAGGAAGGUGAGGAUGAUGACGAGGAUGAUGAUGAUGAUGGUGGGGCUACUGAUGAUGAUUUUGAUGAGGAAGAUGAGGAUGAUGACGAGGAUGAUGAAGAGGAGGAGGAGGAAGAUGAGGAUGAUGAUGAGGAUGAUGAUGAUGAUGAUGAUGAUGACGACGACGAUGAUGAUGAUGAUGGGAAUAUACCAUACAG
rnacentral:lncRNA from 1 species